CCUACGGGCGGCAGCAGUGGGGGAUAUUGCACAAUGGGGGGAACCCUGAUGCAGCGACGCCGCGUGGGUGAAGGAGCGUUUCGGCGCGUAAAGCUCUAUCAGCAGGGAAGAAAAUGACGGUACCUGACUAAGAAGCCCCGGCUAACUACGUGCCAGCGGCCGCGGUAAUACGUAGGGGGCAAGCGUUAUCCGGAUUUACUGGGUUUAAAGGGAGCGUAGACGGUCCUGCAAGCCAGAUGUGAAAGCCCGGGGCUAAACCCCGGGACUGCAUUUGGAACUGUAAGGCUAGAGUGUCGGAGAGGCAGGCGGAAUUCCUGGUGUAGCGGUGAAAUGCGUAGAUAUUAGGAGGAACACCAGUGGCGAAGGCGGCCUGCUGGACGAUGACUGACGUUGAGGCUCGAAAGCGUGGGGAGCAAACAGGAUUAGAUACCCGAGUAGUC
rnacentral:rRNA from 1 species